GGUGAAGACCGAGCACACGCGUCCGUAUCUGGAUACGGGUGUCACGUACAUUAACGAAGGGCAGCACGUCACCCAUGGAAUGCUCUGGAAGGCAAGCGAGCCGUUGCAGACGCAGCUGGGGUGAAUGGGAGAACAGUGUGCGGUUUCCUCAAGGUAAUCGACAACAGAGCUGCCCUGCGGCCCAGGAUUGCCCUACGAGGAAAUCAGAGCACACGGAGCACCUGGCCGGGAGGGGACCCGGAGCGCUUCUUUUCGCGUUUGGAAAGAUGACAACCAUGGGAUGUCAGAAACCCCACUCGUGCGCAGUUUUUAAAAAGAGGGAAUCUGCGAUCCACGAUUGUUUGACAUUUGCUGAUACCAUGAAAGGAGCGCAGAGGGAAGGUGGAGGGAAUCUUGUUCCCAUUGAAUUUUUAUUCAAAGCAUCGGUCCCUGUGAAGGACACUUGAAAUGAUCGAACGAACAUUCUUCUGUGUCUCUCGUUCUCACGGCCCCACACGCUCCCCGAGCUGCUCUGUGCCCGGCUCGGUGCUCUCUUGGUGAGAGAACAGCUUUUCACUCUGGACGUGCCAAGGUGUGUCCUUCUCUUUAGGACUUUUCUGUGGACAAGUUGUCAGAGGCUGUUUGUUCUCUUGAGCUCUCUGGUUUCCUUUUAUUUCGGAGAACUGGGUAGUCCCAGAACUGGUCUGUUCUGACUGUGUGGGAAGGAAAGGCUUUUUCUCAUCUUGAUAUAUCAGGUUUCCGUAUGGGCCUGGGCGCUGCAUUCUUAGGACCCAAAGAUUUCUGUGGAAGUUGUUAGCUUUCAUCCGCGGCCGGUUUCUUCCCUGGGAAGUUCAGAAUUCAAGGGCGCUCCUCUCUUGGACAUGCUACCCCGGUCUGGUGCUGCCCGUGAACACGGUUGAUCUGUGUCUCUUUGUUCCACUAGGACUCCUCGCUUCUGGACUCGGUGUCGAUGCCUCCGCCAUCAGUCACGCGGCCUCUGUUGCCAGCGAGGGUUGGGGUGUUGCUUUCCCGGCUGUGGAUUUCACCCUCAAUAAGGGUAACUGGCCAAUGUUUCUUACCUUUACUUUUUUUACAUUUUGGAAUAUUUUCAGACACAAAUGUGUAAAGGAAUACCCAGACAGAGCAAAUGUGAACGUAUUUCAUAACAUCAUAUCAUCCUAGAAAUUUAACAUGGAAAUACGGACACCGUACUGUUACCUAAUGACUACUUAAUGCCAACAAUUAACACUAAUGUUCUGUUUCUCAUGUUUCUGGACCCAAGCCACAAUCCCAUAUGGCACGUAGUUAUCCUCUUUCGCACUCUUUAAUCUGAAACAGGGCUUGUUUUUCAACAUCUUUCCACUUUUAAAAGGUAUGAUGUAGUUAUGCUGUAGAAUGUCCUCCCAUCUGGUGUCUUUAAUUCCUCGAUGAAACCCACAAUACGCCCUUUGGACGUGAGGAUGUUCUCGGUGAACCUCAGAGGCGUCACGUAAUGUCUGUUUUCCUCCUCGUGAGGGAGGGUCACUGUUCAUUUGGUCACGAUGUUGCCUGUGAUGUUUCUCCACGACUAAGAUUUUCUGCUUUAAGAUUAAUGUGUCUCAGGGAGAGUCACUCUGAGAGCGUCACUAUCUUGUCACUGUUAGAAUCUGUUGAUGUUUCUUCUCUGAAACCAUUACGACUGGGAUGUGUGCCUGACGGUUCUAUAUCCAUUAUUCUCCCUAAAUUCACUUUGUCUCCCAUCUGUCAGCAUUAAUUCCGUGUCAGAUUUGUCUCAGAUUUGGUGCUCUCAGCAGCAGCACGUGAGGGAGCUCGCGCUCCCCCGUGAUCUUGCUACCCCACCGUGUUGUUUCACCGGCUCAGUGUUCAUCAGUCUGAGAGUUGACACUGGUGUCCUUCAGCGGUGGAGGAGGGGCAGCAAAGUGUCCCCCAAGCGAGAAGACAUUUGGAAACUGACAAAUGAGACAAGCUACUCGAUGCCAUUUACAGGGCUUUAAAAAAAAUUUUAUUUAUUUAAAUUCAAUUAGCCAAGGGAUAGGACUUCUUUGGUUUUUGAUCUACUGAUCUGAUGAGUCACUCAACAUUACAAUGCCCAGUGCGCAUCAGCUCACAUGCCCUGCUUAACGCGCAUCUCCCAGUUAGCCCAUCCCCCACUCACCU